rnacentral:miRNA from 1 species
CUUGAACUCACUUUGUAGCCCAGGCUGACCUCCAGUUCACAGAGAUCCUCCUGCCUCAGCCUCCUGAGUGCUGGGAU